rnacentral:rRNA from 1 species
UACGGAGGGUGCGAGCGUUGUCCGGAAUCACUGGGCGUAAAGGGCGCGUAGGUGGCGCGGGAAGUCAACGGUGAAAGUUCAGGGCUCAACCCUGAAUCGGCCGUCGAUACUCCCGGGCUUGAGCACUGUAGAGGCAGGUGGAAUUCCGGGUGUAGCGGUGGAAUGCGUAGAGAUCCGGAAGAACACCGGUGGCGAAGGCGGCCUGCUGGGCAGUUGCUGACACUGAUGCGCGACAGCGUGGGGAGCAAACAGG